UUUUUUCCUUUAACUAUGCGUCUUCUCUGUACCCAUCAUCACAUCGGAAGAGAAACAACACGACGAUCGGAAAAACUCGAAAGAUGCAUUGCGGCGCGGUGGCUAACGGACGGAAUCGACGACUGUUACUUAGCGUAGGCAGGAGCUUUGCCGCCAGAUCAUUUUCUUCUUCUUCCUCGUCUCCAUUAUCCGAACAUGAAUGUUUCAUCAAGGAGGUAGCCAAAGCUCAGCCUCCUCAGCAUUUGACUCAGCUGCUUAGCAUUUUCACAGCUAGAGGCAAAUCCAUAGUUUCUCCUGGUGCCAAGCAAGGCUUGUUGCCUCUUGCUAUUCCAUUGGUGAGAAUGAGCCCAGGUUCUUCAAUCGCUUUACUACGUUGGCCAACAGCUCGUCCUAGUAUGGAGAUGCCUGUGGUGGAAGUUCAGAAACAUGGGGUUUGGUUUUUAGCCAACAAUGUUGAUCAGUUCAUUCACAGAAUAUUGGUGGAAGAAGAUAUCUUUAAACCCGAGGAAUCCAGCCAAGUGAUCUUCGAUGCUGCAGGUGAAGCUGGGAAGAAACUUUACAGUAAAGGUGACUUUGCCAGAUCAGAGCUGAUGGAUUUAGAUCUCUAUCUUUUAAGAAAGGUCGGACUGUUUCCGGAUUCUCUAGAACGCAAAGUUAUUCGACAUAUUGAGAAUGGAGACCAUGUUUCUGCUUUGGUGGCUGCCGAGUUUUAUACGAAGAGAGGAAACUUUCCCGGAUUUGCUCGGCCUUUUGCUUUUAACGCAAAGGUUUUGCUAAAACUUGGGCGUAGCUUAGAAGCGAAAGAUGCGGCUAGGGGUGCUCUGAAAUCUUCGUGGUGGACCUUAGGAUGCAGAUACGAGGAAAUUGCUCGAAUAGCAGAGUGGGGAGAAGAGCAAAUUGUGCAGUACAAAGAAAAAGUUACAGGAGAAGGACGACAACGGGAUAUAUCUAGGGGAAAGCCAAGGGCCCAGGCAUCUUAUGACGAGGCUGGGUUGUUAUUGGAUCUAGCGUCACUUGAAGGGACCUGGGACGAGUCACGUGAACGGGUUGCUCAGUGCUACAAAGAUGCUGGACUAAACGACAUGGCCAACUUUGUUCUGUACAGAGACUGAGAUGUCUCUUUUCAAGAUCACUUGAUCAGUGGUACUGAUGUGGUUUUCCGAGACUUGACAUGAAGUGGAAGGCGAAUGGUAUUUGCAUACUGUGUCCACAUUUGAAAUUUACAUAAACCCUAGAUUCAUUGGGUCAAAAAGAUUACUGAUUGUAUCUUUUUUGAGACUAGAAGUGAAAUGAAACAGAAUGAUCAUCUCA